AUAUCGACAUCAGUCUAAACAGACGGAAGCAUAAAAAUAAUGGUUUUUCAGUAGCUGUUUUAACCAAUACAGACCACUAUAAGAAUCGAGGUUACUCAUCAGAAGAAGUGCUCAGUUAAAUCAACAGCAAAAGAUACCGAGAAACCUAAGCAUGAUUGGUAUCAGAUGUGAUGACAGUUAACUCAUUUUCUAGUAAAUCACCGUGGAAGUAGUUACGUAUUAGAAGAGGCAAAUUUGACUUUCUUCUAGUCAGUACUACUCCAAUCAAUAAGAGCACAUCACUGGAACAAUUUUGUUUUAUGAUUAUACCAUACAUUAAUUGCAGGAGCCGCAUCAGUCGAGAAUAAAACAUUGAAAAGAAUGGCCGUUAAAGGAAAGCUUGCUCUUCUUUUUGUUGUGAUUACUGCAUUCAUCCUAGAGUCGUCAGCGGACCCAACAAUGUGGCGCAGGCGUCGAAGACGACAAUCCAGUAUUAUCCCUUCUGGAUGGUGCGGUGGGUGCAAAGGAGAAGUCUGUCGCAUCAUUGUACCUGGUAGUGCUGAUGAGAUACUCAAUGACUGUGACUGUGGUGUUGAAUGCUUUUGCUCUUACGACUUCACAACAGACAAGGGUGUUGAAGUGUAUAGAUGCAAAGCUGGCAAACGUUAGCUAGACAAGAAUACAUGAUAUGUUCUUCAAUUGUCACAGUUUAUAUAAUACAUAAGUUAUCUAAUAAGAUACCGUAAACCUCCAACAAUACCUCCCCCCUCCCCAUUUAAGACGCUUCGCGUUACUAACCCUCACAGAUAUAAGCCUAUGGAGCUACUUUAGAAAAGACCUGUAAAUUACACACUAA